UUUGGUGCUUUUCUAUAGCUUUUCCGACAUCUCCCCUCCUCCGGUACAAUAUGCAAUAUAAGAGGAAAAAAGGUAUAUGAUUGGUGUGAUAAUGCAGAAAUCAUCAAUAAAAAUGAGCAAAUUAUACUAAAGAAAUAUGAUGCAAAAUGGAUGUACCAGGCCCCAUUGCUUGUCCUUGGAUUCGAAGGCCGUCGUGGACAUGGAGGAUUAGAAGAGAAAUAGAGAGAAGGAGCUCGCUGAUCGGGUUCGACCUCAUCAUCAGAGGCCUUCAACGUUGUGCAAUUAAUGGCGUCCGCAACCUGGUUGAUUGCAGACUUUAGCCAACCUUUCCUUCAAAUCGGGUUGACCUCGUUCUCCGGCAUGCUUGGCUGCAAGAGGCGAAGCUAUAGAGGCGCCAUCAUCCCAAGUGACAUAUUCCCUAGUGACGGUGAAGUUGCAGCUGAGCGGAAGUGGAUGAAAAGAUUGAACCAUGAAAUGAUCCAAGAGUCCAACACAUAUACUAUCCAUGCAUGACAACACAAAAAAA
rnacentral:lncRNA from 1 species